GAUCAGCCCGCGCUCGAUUAGCUAGUUGGUGAGGUAACGGCCCACCAAGGCUCCGAUCGAUAGCUGUUCUGAGAGGAAGAUCAGCCACACUGGGACUGAGACACGGCCCAGACUCCUACGGGAGGCAGCAGUUGGGAAUCUUGGACAAUGGGGGAAACCCUGAUCCAGCCAUGCCGCGUGAGUGAUGAAGGCCUUCGGGUUGUAAAGCUCUUUUGCCCGGGAAGAUAAUGACGGUACCGGGAGAAUAAGCUCCGGCUAACUUCGUGCCAGCAGCCGCGGUAAUACGAAGGGGGCUAGCGUUGUUCGGAAUUACUGGGCGUAAAGCGUGCGCAGGCGGCUUGCCAAGUCAGUGGUGAAAGCCCGGAGCUCAACUCCGGAAUUGCCAUUGAAACUGGCUGGCUUGAGAACGAGAGAGGUGAGUGGAAUUCCCAGUGUAGAGGUGAAAUUCGUAGAUAUUGGGAAGAACACCAGUGGCGAAGGCGGCUCACUGGCUCGUAACUGACGCUCAUGCACGACAGCGUGGGGAUCAAACAGGAUUAGAUACCCUGGUAGUCCACGCCGUAAACGAUGAUUGCUAGCCGU
rnacentral:rRNA from 1 species